GUGUUGUAUGAAAGGAGAGGUUAGCAUUCCCCUUGACAAGGAUGGAAGAGGCCCGUGGGCCUAACACACACACACAGGUAAGGCAUUGCCACCUACUUCGUGGCAUCUAACCACUGUUUUUA
ensembl:snRNA U6atac minor spliceosomal RNA